CUCAAAUUAAAUGAUUAAUAUUCCCCAAAUUCCAAUUAACUACACUUCCGCUGUUACAGAGGGGAAACACUGUAAUCAUACUGUAAACUUUCAAAAGUUUAUAUAUUGUGCAUAGUUUGAAGUGAAAAAAAACUUUUCUUCAAUUGUGUUUGGGUUCAGGCUCUGUUUAGGAUCGGUAUCGGAAAAACCCAAACGAUACUCAUCCGUACCAGACAUGAGUCUGCACGCUCAACGUGAAGCUACAGCCAGCCGCUGGUUAGCUUAGCAUGAAGACUGGAGACAAGAGGGCUCGAAAGGGAUGUUUAAGAAUCCGGAUUCAACAGUUUACAAAUUUCCGACUUGAUGAAACAAUGGACAAAAAUCGUUCUUUAUUUAUUCUUAAAGUGUUUGCUUUCAAGAUCAAGAUGGGGUCAUAGAAAAAAACAAGUAGAGCAAAGUGUUUUAUGCACCAUGUCAAGUGGAUGAGCUCCAUCAAUACAAAUACACCGUCCACACACAUUUACUCUAAAGGCUCAUUUGCAUAUUGUAGAUACCUUCACUGUAACCAUAGAGACGUUACAUCAUGAUGGAACAUUUCUCCAUGUUCCAUGUUCCAUGUUCUAUGCUCCGUUCACCACAGCAUAAGAACACAGUCUGUUACACAUCCAGUCAGUCAGUUUCAAACCUCGCAUCUACACACUGAAGUUUUCCGGACCUACACUUGCAGAAAGCAACCAUGUAAUGCCUCAGGAGUCUGUAGAGGGGACGAAGACGCGUUCUGCUGCACUUAACAGAGCUCAAGACCAACGGGACGCCAUCAGGACGCCAUCAGGACGCCACGUCAACGGGACGCCAUCAGGACGCCACGUCAACGGGACGCCAUCAGGACCUCACGUCAACCCCUCAGGAGCAAAUCCAGAUCUACGCAUGACACACACACACACACCCCCACACACACACACACAGAUGUACACACAGACACACUAACAUUUGGUUCUAAACAAAGACACACACUAACAUUUAGAUGUACACAAAGACACAUUAAUAUUUAGAUGUACACACAGACACACUAACAAUUAGAUGUACACACAGACACACUAUCAUUUGGUUCUAAACAAAGACACACACUAAUAUUUAGAUGUACACACAGACACACUAACAAUUAGAUGUACACACAGACACAUCCUGAUGAUCCUCCUCACGUCUCUUCUCCUUGUCUGCAGACCAACAGGACGCCAUCAGGACGCCAUCAGGACGCCACGUCAUCGGGACGCCAUCAGGAAACCACGUCAUCGGGACGCCAUCAGGACGCCAUCAGGACACCUCGUCAACCCCUCAGGAGCAAAUCCAGAUCUACUCAUGACACACACACACACACACACACACACACACACACACACAGAUGUACUCACAGACACACUAACAUUUGGUUCUAAACAAAGACACACACUAAUAUUUAGAUGUACACAAAGACACAUUAAUAUUUAGAUGUACACACAGACACACUAACAAUUAGAUGUACACACAUACACACUAUCAUUUGGUUCUAAACAAAGACACACACUAAUAUUUAGAUGUACACAAAGACAUAUUAAUAUUUAGAUGUACAAACAGACACACUAACAUUUAGAUGUACACACAGACACACUAACAAUUAGAUGUACACACAGACACACUAACAUUUGGUUCUACACAAAGACACACACUGACAUUUAGAUGUACACAAAGACACAAUAACAAUUAGAUGUACACACAGACACAUUAGUAUUCAGAAUUACACAAAAACACACAAACAUCUGGUUCUGCACAAAAACACAUUAAUAUUUAAAUGUACCCACGGACCCACUAACAAUUAGAUCCACACACAGACACACUAACAAUUAGAUGUACACACGGACACAUCCUGAUGAUCCUCCUCACGUCUCUUCUCCUUGUCUGCAGACCAACAGGACGCCAUCAGGACGCCACGUCAUCGGGACGCUACGUCAUCGGGACACACUAACAAUUAGAUGUACACACAGACACACUAACAUUUGGUUCUAAACAAAGACACACUAACAUUUAGAUGUACAAAAAGACACACACUAAUAUUUAGAUGUACACAAAGACACACACUAAUAUUUAGAUGUACACAAAGACACACUAACAAUUAGAUGUACACACAGACACACUAACAACAUUAAUAUGUAAAUAACUUUUCUUCUUUUCUCUCUUCUCAGGAACUGCUUCAGAUGUUUUCCCAAUGAUUGUGUUAUUAUAAUUGUUAAAUAUGUCGUCUGUUUAUUAUUUUAAC
ensembl:lncRNA